AUUGAACGCUGGCGGCAGGCCUAACACAUGCAAGUCGAGCGGCAGCACUUCGGGUGGCGAGCGGCGAACGGGUGAGUAAUACAUGGGAAUCUGCCUGGUAGUGGGGGAUAACUCUGGGAAACUAGAGGUAAUACCGCAUACGCCCUACGGGGAAAGCGGGGGAUCUUCGGACCUCGCGCUAUCAGAGGAGCCCAUGUCCGAUUAGCUAGUUGGUGAGGUAAGGCUCACCAAGGCGACGAUCGGUAACUGGUCUGAGAGGAUGGUCAGUCACACUGGAACUGAGACACGGUCCAGACUCCGUAC
rnacentral:rRNA from 1 species